AUUAGCUUAGUUGGUUAGAGCAUGGGUCUAAUAACACCAAGGUUGUGGGUUUGAUUCCCAUAU
rnacentral:tRNA from 1 species